rnacentral:rRNA from 1 species
CACGGGGGGAGCAAGCGUUGUUCGGAAUCACUGGGCGUAAAGGGCGUGUAGGCGGUCAAGUAAGUGGGAUGUGAAAUCCCUCGGCUCACCCGAGGACCUGCAUCCCAAACUGCUUGGCUUGAGUAUGGGAGAGGAUGAGGGAGUUCCUGGUGUAGCGGUGAAAUGCGUAGAUAUCAGGAGGAACACCGGUGGCGAAGGCGCUCAUCUGGCCCAAUACUGACGCUGAGGCGCGAAAGCUAGGGGAGCAAACGGG